UGAAUUAGCUACUCUUCUAUGCAGCUGGAAUUUGGGAAAUCUAUACGAUUUCUUCGUGCUCAUACUAUUACCUUGAGCGAAAAAACGCAGCUCCGUUGGGCAAGUUGUACAACAAAUUCAGGAAUUGGAAAGCAAAUUUCAAUAAAAAGACAAAGACAUCAGACGGUAAUUCGAAAAAACAAAAGCAGACGUCAUUUUCAAUAGGGGAAGAUGAGGACGAACAUAUUAGAGCGUUGACACAUGACCUCCAUGCAAUGGCUUAUCAGGAAAAAAUCAGACACUGGUGCGCGUGUGCUGCAACACGUAUGAACAGCAUUCGAGAUGCAGAGAAUAAUCCAAAACAUAUAUUUGAUGUUUGGCCGCAGUACAAAUUGCCUGAUGGUUUUCGUUUGAUUGAGUCUGAUUUUGUGUUCUUUUUCGGAACCAGAAAUGAGGUUCUUGAUAACCUCACUGCUUUUUGCGAUUUGCUUGUUGAUAAAGUUUUUCCGAAUCACAUG